UAGGGAAUCUUCCGCAAUGGGCGAAAGCCUGACGGAGCAACGCCGCGUGAGUGAUGAAGGUCUUCGGAUCGUAAAACUCUGUUAUUAGGGAAGAACACAUGUGUAAGUAACUAUGCACGUCUUUACGGUACCUAAUCAGAAAGCCACGGCUAACUACGUGCCAGCAGCCGCGGUAAUACGUAGGUGGCAAGCGUUAUCCGGAAUUAUUGGGCGUAAAGCGCGCGUAGGCGGUUUUUUAAGUCUGAUGUGAAAGCCCACGGCUCAACCGUGGAGGGUCAUUGGAAACUGGAAAACUUGAGUGCAGAAGAGGAAAGUGUAAUUCCAUGUGUAGCGGUGAAAUGCGCAGAGAUAUGGAGGAACACCAGUGGCGAAGGCGACUUUCUGGUCUGUAACUGACGCUGAUGUGCGAAAGCGUGGGGAUCAAACAGG
rnacentral:rRNA from 1 species